rnacentral:rRNA from 1 species
CUUGGUCAUUUAGAGGAAGUAAAAGUCGUAACAAGGUUUCCGUAGGUGAACCUGCGGAAGGAUCAUUACAGAAGUGUUAUAUCUCUUCUAUCUUCCCCCCCUUUGUGCACCUUUGCUGUAGGCUAGUAGCUUGUCAAAAGCGAACACUUACAAGUCUUUUCUAAUACUACUACUGUAUUGGGUUGGAUCGAAAGGCUUUUGUCAUUAAUUGGAAAUAAAUACAACUUUCAGCAACGGAUCUCUUGGCUCUCGCAUCGAUGAAGAACGCAGCGAAAUGCGAUAAGUAAUGUGAAUUGCAGAUUUCAGUGAAUCAUCGAAUCUUUGAACGCACCUUGCACCUCUUGGUAUUCCGAGAGGUACACCUGUUUGAGUGUCAUGACUUCUAUCCACUUCAAUACUGUUGUUUGGUUUGAAGCUGGGACUUGGAGGCUGUGUUGUGUGUAUCACUACACUCCUCUUGAAUGCAUUAGUAAAGUGUACCCUUGUGGGAAGCCGUUGGUGUGAUAGUAGAUCAGAUCACCUCUGGCAAAUAGGGGCACUUGGCUUCUAACACCCCUAUCUUUGGUUGACGCGACUUGACCUCAAAUCAGGUGGGACUACCCGCUGAACUUAAGCAUAUCAAUAAGCGGAGGA